AUUGAACGCUGGCGGCAGGCCUAACACAUGCAAGUCGAACGGUAACAGGAAGCAGCUUGCUGCUUCGCUGACGAGUGGCGGACGGGUGAGUAAUGUCUGGGAAGCUGCCUGGUGGAGGGGGAUAACUACUGGAAACGGUAGCUAAUACCGCAUAAUGUCGCAAGACCAAAGAGGGGGACCUUCGGGCCUCUUGCCAUCGGAUGUGCCCAGAUGGGAUUAGCUUGUUGGUGGGGUAACGGCUCACCAAGGCGACGAUCCCUAGCUGGUCUGAGAGGAUGACCAGCCACACUGGAACUGAGACACGGUCCAGACUCCUACGGGAGGCAGCAGUGGGGAAUAUUGCACAAUGGGCGCAAGCCUGAUGCAGCCAUGCCGCGUGUAUGAAGAAGGCCUUCGGGUUGUAAAGUACUUUCAGCGGGGAGGAAGGGAGUAAAGUUAAUACCUUUGCUCAUUGACGUUACCCGCAGAAGAAGCACCGGCUAACUCCGUG
rnacentral:rRNA from 1 species